UCAUCAGACGCAUUCAUCACUCUGACUGAUAUCAAACUCCAUGACAGCUGACAUUUUGUGACUGUUUGAAUCCCCCAUGAAUGGCAGCAUGUGAAAACAUCCGCUCUGCUUUUGCUGCCGCUAAAUGUCUUUGGUCGCCAUGGAGAUGUGGACCACAGUAUACUUUACAAAGCAGCUGCCUGCAGUGUCUCAGCAUUGCUAGAGGUAAGACAGUUUCACUAACAUCCAGAGCAUGUCACCUUCAACAGGAACUUAUUAAGUAGCUCAAAACCUCAUGCUGUUUGCACAAGAAAUCUUCUAUUUAAUCUCUCUUCUUAAGUAUAUCCUGCAUUUCUUUGAUGUGUGUUUACUGAAGCUUGUGCGGGAUCUAAAGAAGCUCAUG
ensembl:lncRNA